UGGGGCGUAGCCAAGCGGUAAGGCAACGGGUUUUGGUCCCGCUAUUCGGAGGUUCGAAUCCUGCCGUCCCAG
rnacentral:tRNA from 1 species